rnacentral:lncRNA from 1 species
AAAAAAAUGUUACUUCCUCUCCUGAGUAAAAGAAAUUAUUAACCUAAAAUAAGUAAAAUAAAAUAAAAUAAAAAUAGGAUCUACAAAAUUAAAUAAUUUGAAGAGUUUAAUCCUCCUCCUAAAUAGAAAGAACAUAAUUCGCCUUCAUUCGUUUCAAAAAAAAAUGUCCAUGUAAAAACUACUCACUCGAUCUGCAAUUUUGAACAGAAGUUAGUUCAAAAUUGCGACACUUAUUAUGGAUCGAAAGUGGUAAAAUUCAUAAAUCACUAUGUUUAAAUGCAGCAAACCAUCUGGUCUAUUUUUGGUUUGGUUUUGUACUGUCGGAAUAUUUGUUGCAUCUAGCUAACCAAAUCACAUGUUGCAGAAGUUAUCUCUAUAGGCGCUCCUGAUAUAAACAACAUUUCUUUCAGGAACAUUUUACGUGUCCUUGUAAGUACUCUAUUUCCUGCGGAGAAGUUAUAUGUAUUUGAUUCACCAUCCACCUCAACAAAAUGAUGUAUCCUUUGGAACCACUUUUGUAGUCAUAGCUAGCCUAAGCUUGUCUCAUUUGUCCAGCGUUUGAGGAACUAUAAAGUCGGAUUCCUUCAUGUUUUCAUCAUCUCCCAAGUCAUUGAGAAGAAAACAUGUAUCUUUGCGCUGCAAUGCAUUAGCACACAUGUCACCCAUUAACCAGAAGAAAUGGCAUUGAUAGAUUUAAUUAGCCAACUCCAAAUCAAAAGUUGCAGUUACCUUGACAAGAUGAGCCAUAGGAUCACCCCN